AGGCAUCUCGGAGCAGCCGGUGAGUCACAGUGAGUAUGCAGCGCUGGGCGCGAAGGACGCCCGGGUGCCCUCCCAGCCGCGCGCCACUCCCGCGCCGCCCCUGGAACGCGGAGAGCGUGGCUGCGUGCUGCAGGGCCGCAGGGUCUACGCCCCGGGCACCCCGACCCACCCUGGGAAACCCGGCGCACACCAGCCAAGCCUCCUGCAGACCCGACUUCUCCACUGCAACUUUUAGUCAGGCCUGCAAGGGGUUCCAGCACUACCUUCCUCCCUACUCAUGGCCUGGGCUCCCCAGGGGCCUGGAUUUUGAAGGGGCCACUCUCUGGUGUGUUCAAGACACCCCUGAAGAUUCCAAGCUCUGCUGGGCUUCACAUUCGCUCUCCUAAGGACCAUUUUUCUGCCAGUGCCUCAGUUUCCCCAACUGAGUACCAGUAGCAUAAGAUUCUCCCCACCACCCUCCGCACCCUGCCCCCGGGUGGCAAGAGUAUUCAUUACAGUUUGUUCCUGGCUUUGAAGAUGAGAAGUACCAAGGAUCAUUACCACUCAAUUAACGGAGCUGUUACCACUGGAGUUUAGGUCUGAUUAAUCUGCCCCCUGCCCCCUGCCUUGGAGCCAUGUUGCCCCCUGACACCCCUUCCUUGGACUCCCGCAGGCUCCUCCUUUCUCCUGGAUUUCAUACCUGGAGUUAGCCCCUUUCCUGUUCCUGCCAGUACUCUCGGGUCCUGAAAGAGUGUCUGCCACAUUCAGUCUUCAACAAGUAUUGUUGAGCUCCCCCAGAGCCAGGGGCUAGAUGCUGAGGCAGGGCAGUGAAGGUCACAGACCCAAGCCUUCCUGGAGCUCACCUUCUGGUAGGUGCCCAAAUGUCUAUGUGGGAUCCAGUGUAUGUCCAGGGCUUCCUUCUGCCUUCCACCUCUCCCUCCAGGGUUCCUUGUUCAGACAACAAGCGAUGGGCAGGCCUAGGCCUAGGCCAGGCACCACAGUCCCGGGUGGACAGUGCUAACGGGUUCUAGUUUCAGAGAUGAAAACAACAAAGUUAACAUAAAGAGGAGGGGAAAUGAUCACAGCACCUUACAUGGAACACCCCCCACCCUUCCUCUCCUCUCCCCUUCUAAUGGCCUCAGCCCCUCCUCAAGGUCUUGGUCACACGCCCCCUCUUCUAUAGGGCCUUCCCCUCGCCCUGAACAUCUCUCUCUUCCAAGCCUGCGGUGGUCCUUACCAACUGGAACUUCCUGCUUGUACCUCCUCUGGACGUGCAUCAUGUCUUAUAUGUGAUAUUUCCACUGAGCCUCAUUCCACACUUCUCAUUAAACUGUCUGCUGCCUGACAGCAGAAUCCAAGUCUCAAGUUUGUUUCCUUCCACCAAGAAUGCACGGGAGUUCUCCGUAGAUGUUGCCCUCAUUGAAAUGAGAGAGCUAAGGCCUAGACCGGGAACGCUGCGCCCGCCGCAAAAUGGAAUUCUGGUGGUCAAGAGGCCCCCCAUCCUGUGCUGUGAGGGUUAGGAGAGUCGGGGGUCAUGGGGAUAGAAGUAAAAGGACCAGGUGGGAAGGACAAAGUGGAUUAGACUCCUACUCCAAUCAAUCAUCCAUCAGAAUCACCAACUAGGACACUUGAAUUGGGUCCACAAGUUCUUACUGAGUACUGCUUGGGGCCGGGCACAGUGCUAGGCACUGCGGAGACAAAGAUGAGUGAGAUUCAGUCCCUGCCGCUAGGGAUCUUGGAUACCAUCUCUUGUCUUCAGUAACUUUCUGGGUGACCCUAGGCCAAGUAAUUAUGAGCAACCCAAAUAAUUCUCAGCGUCUGAGAGAGAUCACGCCCCUCUUCCUUCGCCUAUGCACCAUGAGCCCUGGCAGGGAAGCCCAUGCCAUCAGUCAGAGCUUCCUAGCCAACGUGCAGCCCUCUAGUGGAUUCCAGUUGGGCCAAUAUUGGCCUCAGGGGCCAGAGGCAGCCUUGGUUCUUUACUGCAGUGGCUGUAAAAAGUUUCAUUUUCUAUGAGAACUACAGCAUGACAAAGGUCAGGAAGCGCUGCCUAAGUCAUCUGGUGAAAGAGGAUGCAAAUGCCACCAAGGAGCUCCAAUUCUGGGCCCCAAAGAGUCAUUAACUGCUGUUCCCUGGAUCCCAGAGUUUUGACUGCACAGAACAGCAAAGAAGAAACCAGAAGUCGGGCUCCAUCCAGUUCCUCACCUGGGUGGAUGAGGCCAGCACCUGAUUGUUUUAGGCUGAGUAGGCUCCUGAAGCUGAGAGCUGAUAAGAGACAUUGAUCUAGGGUUUGCAACUCUCUCUGGUUUCCCGAAGCUGUUUCUCACAGGGCAGGGAGAAGAGGAAUCUGCCAGCCUUUGGAUCAGCGUCUGUCCCAUGGGCAAAGCCUUUAUCCAGCAAGAAGCCAGCUGUGUGGCAAGCAAUGGAGGCACAAACAGGUGUUUAGAAGAGACGUAUGUAAUUGGCUUGGAGAGGAUCCGGUGGCCUCCGAGACAGCCUAGGAAAGGGAUAGCCAGGUGCAGAGUGGCACAGUGGCCAUUGCACCUACUGAGAGGCCCUGGCAGAAACAGUUCCUCCCUGAUUCCCGUGGGAAUGCCACAAUGGGGACAAAGGAUGGAGUUAAGAGCAUUCGUUUUAAAGUCACACAGGACGAAUUCAACUGUCAGACCAGCCAGGUAGCCUCCAGUAAGCUACUUGGACUCUUAAGACUUGAAAGGGCAGCCCUAAAGCCUUCCUCUCACAGGAUUGUUGUAAAGAAUGAAGAAAAUUAUGGCCUGAAACAGUGGCUCAUGCCUAUAAUCCCAGCACUUUGGGAAGCUGAGUCAGGAGUAUCACUUGAGGCGAGGAGUUGGAGACCAGCCUGGGCAACAUAUCAAGACCCCAUCUCU
rnacentral:lncRNA from 1 species